rnacentral:rRNA from 1 species
AACAGGAUUCCCCUAGUAACUGCGAGUGAAGCGGGAAAAGCUCAAAUUUGAAAUCUGGCGGUCCUUGGCCGUCCGAGUUGUAAUCUAGAGAAGUGUUACCCGCGCUGGACCAUGUACAAGUCUCCUGGAAUGGAGCGUCAUAGAGGGUGAGAAUCCCGUCUCUGACAUGGACUACCAGGGCUUUGUGGUAUGCUCUCAAAGAGUCGAGUUGUUUGGGAAUGCAGCUCAAAAUGGGUGGUAAAUUCCAUCUAAAGCUAAAUAUUGGCGAGAGACCGAUAGCGAACAAGUACCGUGAGGGAAAGAUGAAAAGAACUUUGGAAAUAGAGUUAAACAGUACGUGAAAUUGCUGAAAGGGAAACGCUUGAAGUCAGUCACGUUGGCCGGGGAUCAGCCUCACAAAUUGUGUGGUGUACUUUCUGGUUGAUGGGUCAGCAUCAAUUUUGACUGUUGGAAAAAGACUUGGGGAAUGUGACAGCUCUGGCUGUGUUAUAGCCCUUGUCAUAUACAGCAGUUGGGAUUGAGGAACUCAGCACGCCGCAAGGCCGGGUUUCGACCACGUUCGUGCUUAGGAUGCUGGCAUAAUGGCUUUAAGCGACCCGUCUUGAAACACGGACCAAGGAGUCUAACAUGCCUGCGAGUGUUUGGGUGGAAAACCCGAGCGCAUAAUGAAAGUGAAAGUUGAGAUCCCUGUCGUGGGGAGCAUCGACGCCCGGACCAGAACUUUUGGGACGGAUCCGCGGUAGAGCAUGUAUGUUGGGACCCGAAAGAUGGUGAACUAUGCCUGAAUAGGGUGAAGCCAGAGGAAACUCUGGUGGAGGCUCGUAGCGAUUCUGACGUGCAAAUCGAUCGUCAAAUUUGGGUAUAGGGGCGAAAGACUAAUCGAACC